UCUAAUGUUAUUUUAAUAGAAAAACCUCAUCUAUCAGGCAUCCAGAGUACUGUUUUUGGUUUAAAAGUUUGUUUUUUGUUUUUUUUCCUAUCUUCCAGAUGGAAAGUUCAGAUAACAAAUAAAGGAUACUACAACUUAAGGAAGCCUAAGGAAUUCACAAUGAACAACUAUUUUUCUAUUGGACCUGAUGCUCUCAUGGCUCUCAAUUUUCAUGCUCAUCGUGAGAAGGCACCAUCUCUGUUUUCUAGCAGAAUUCUUAAUAAGGCUGUUUAUUUAUUCUAUGGAA